UNCAAGUGCUUUGCUAGUUCACACCGGGG
rnacentral:piRNA from 1 species